AGAGACCUAGAUGAAAGGAAAAAAAUGACUGUGAUCAGAUUAUUCAGCUCCCCCUACAGAUGGCCUGAAAAAGCCCAAAGGCUCUCACCSCACAUGGAGACACUAACAACUAAAUGAACUUUGGCUAAACAGUACCGAUGACACAUUAAUGCUACCGUAGCUCCAUUCUCAUUCUGCAUUCUGCACAGUGUUUUGUGAUCUGUCUUUGAUGGACAUAGCAAACAUCUCAAGAGGGUCCUCCACAGAUUUCUAGAAUAUGGUAAAGAAAAAAUACACAUUUUUGGAUAAUUCCCCAACAAGGAAGGACUCCCAAACUACUUAAAAUGAAAGAUCUUGAAAGUGCAAGAAAGAAGCAUGGAACCAAUGAACUACUGCAAAUGCUGCAGUAUGUGAAGCUCUGCAAUAGAAUGGCAUGUGUCCUUUUUCACUCACUGGCUGCCACAGUAAUCAGGAAUGAGCUUAUGAACUAA
rnacentral:lncRNA from 1 species